rnacentral:rRNA from 1 species
AGAUUAAGUUAUUAAGGGCGCACGGUGGAUGCCUUGGCACUAGAAGCCGAUGAAGGACGUUACUAACGACGAUAUGCUUUGGGGAGCUGUAAGUAAGCUUUGAUCCAGAGAUUUCCGAAUGGGGAAACCCAGCAUGAGUUAUGUCAUGUUAUCGAUAUGUGAAUACAUAGCAUAUCAGAAGGCACACCCGGAGAACUGAAACAUCUUAGUACCCGGAGGAAGAGAAAGAAAAUUCGAUUCCCUUAGUAGCGGCGAGCGAAACGGGAAGAGCCCAAACCAACAAGCUUGCUUGUUGGGGUUGUAGGACACUCUAUACGGAGUUACAAAGGACGACAUUAGACGAAUCAUCUGGAAAGAUGAAUCAAAGAAGGUAAUAAUCCUGUAGUCGAAAAUGUUGUCUCUCUUGAGUGGAUCCUGAGUACGACGGAGCACGUGAAAUUCCGUCGGAAUCUGGGAGGACCAUCUCCUAAGGCUAAAUACUCUCUAGUGACCGAUAGUGAACCAGUACCGUGAGGGAAAGGUGAAAAGCACCCCGGAAGGGGAGUGAAAUAGAACCUGAAACCGUGUGCUUACAAGUAGUCAGAGCCCGUUAAUGGGUGAUGGCGUGCCUUUUGUAGAAUGAACCGGCGAGUUACGAUUUGAUGCAAGGUUAAGCAGUAAAUGUGGAGCCGUAGCGAAAGCGAGUCUGAAUAGGGCGUUUAGUAUUUGGUCGUAGACCCGAAACCAGGUGAUCUACCCUUGGUCAGGUUGAAGUUCAGGUAACACUGAAUGGAGGACCGAACCGACUUACGUUGAAAAGUGAGCGGAUGAACUGAGGGUAGCGGAGAAAUUCCAAUCGAACCUGGAGAUAGCUGGUUCUCUCCGAAAUAGCUUUAGGGCUAGCCUCAAGUGAUGAUUAUUGGAGGUAGAGCACUGUUUGGACGAGGGGCCCCUCUCGGGUUACCGAAUUCAGACAAACUCCGAAUGCCAAUUAAUUUAACUUGGGAGUCAGAACAUGGGUGAUAAGGUCCGUGUUCGAAAGGGAAACAGCCCAGACCACCAGCUAAGGUCCCAAAAUAUAUGUUAAGUGGAAAAGGAUGUGGCGUUGCCCAGACAACUAGGAUGUUGGCUUAGAAGCAGCCAUCAUUUAAAGAGUGCGUAAUAGCUCACUAGUCGAGUGACACUGCGCCGAAAAUGUACCGGGGCUAAACAUAUUACCGAAGCUGUGGAUUGUCCUUUGGACAAUGGUAGGAGAGCGUUCUAAGGGCGUUGAAGCAUGAUCGUAAGGACAUGUGGAGCGCUUAGAAGUGAGAAUGCCGGUGUGAGUAGCGAAAGACGGGUGAGAAUCCCGUCCACCGAUUGACUAAGGUUUCCAGAGGAAGGCUCGUCCGCUCUGGGUUAGUCGGGUCCUAAGCUGAGGCCGACAGGCGUAGGCGAUGGAUAACAGGUUGAUAUUCCUGUACCACCUAUAAUCGUUUUAAUCGAUGGGGGGACGCAGUAGGAUAGGCGAAGCGUGCGAUUGGAUUGCACGUCUAAGCAGUAAGGCUGAGUAUUAGGCAAAUCCGGUACUCGUUAAGGCUGAGCUGUGAUGGGGAGAAGACAUUGUGUCUUCGAGUCGUUGAUUUCACACUGCCGAGAAAAGCCUCUAGAUAGAAAAUAGGUGCCCGUACCGCAAACCGACACAGGUAGUCAAGAUGAGAAUUCUAAGGUGAGCGAGCGAACUCUCGUUAAGGAACUCGGCAAAAUGACCCCGUAACUUCGGGAGAAGGGGUGCUCUUUAGGGUUAACGCCCAGAAGAGCCGCAGUGAAUAGGCCCAAGCGACUGUUUAUCAAAAACACAGGUCUCUGCUAAACCGUAAGGUGAUGUAUAGGGGCUGACGCCUGCCCGGUGCUGGAAGGUUAAGAGGAGUGGUUAGCUUCUGCGAAGCUACGAAUCGAAGCCCCAGUAAACGGCGGCCGUAACUAUAACGGUCCUAAGGUAGCGAAAUUCCUUGUCGGGUAAGUUCCGACCCGCACGAAAGGCGUAACGAUUUGGGCACUGUCUCAACGAGAGACUCGGUGAAAUCAUAGUACCUGUGAAGAUGCAGGUUACCCGCGACAGGACGGAAAGACCCCGUGGAGCUUUACUGUAGCCUGAUAUUGAAAUUCGGCACAGCUUGUACAGGAUAGGUAGGAGCCUUUGAAACGUGAGCGCUAGCUUACGUGGAGGCGCUGGUGGGAUACUACCCUAGCUGUGUUGGCUUUCUAACCCGCACCACUUAUCGUGGUGGGAGACAGUGUCAGGCGGGCAGUUUGACUGGGGCGGUCGCCUCCUAAAAGGUAACGGAGGCGCUCAAAGGUUCCCUCAGAAUGGUUGGAAAUCAUUCAUAGAGUGUAAAGGCAUAAGGGAGCUUGACUGCGAGACCUACAAGUCGAGCAGGGUCGAAAGACGGACUUAGUGAUCCGGUGGUUCCGCAUGGAAGGGCCAUCGCUCAACGGAUAAAAGCUACCCCGGGGAUAACAGGCUUAUCUCCCCCAAGAGUUCACAUCGACGGGGAGGUUUGGCACCUCGAUGUCGGCUCAUCGCAUCCUGGGGCUGUAGUCGGUCCCAAGGGUUGGGCUGUUCGCCCAUUAAAGCGGUACGCGAGCUGGGUUCAGAACGUCGUGAGACAGUUCGGUCCCUAUCCGUCGUGGGCGUAGGAAAUUUGAGAGGAGCUGUCCUUAGUACGAGAGGACCGGGAUGGACAUACCUCUGGUGUACCAGUUGUCGUGCCAACGGCAUAGCUGCCCAGCUAUGCCG